UGUUCGAAAGAAAGCUGUAACACAGGUGCUGCAUGGCUGUNGUCAGCUCGUGUCGUGAGAUGUUGGGUUAAGUCCCGCAACGAGCGCAACCNUUGUCAUUAGUUGCUACGAAAGGGCACUCUAAUGAGACUGCCGGUGACAAACCCGGAGGUAGGUGGGGAUGACGUCAAGUCCUCAUGGCCCUUAUGGNUAGGGCUUCACACGUCAUACAAUGGUACAUACCAGAGGGCCGCCAACCCGUGAGGGGGAGCUAAUCCCAGAAAGUGUAUCGUAGUCCGGAUUUGUAGUCUGCAACUCGACUACAUGAAGUUGGAANUCGNCUAGUAAUCGCGGAUUCANGCAUGUCGCGGGUGGANUA
rnacentral:rRNA from 1 species